rnacentral:rRNA from 1 species
CAGCAGCAGCCGCGGUAAUACGAAAGGUCCAAGCGUUACUCGGAAUUACUGGGCGUAAAGCGCGCGUAGGCGGUCUUGUAUGUCGAUUGUGAAAGCCCCGGGCUCAACCUGGGAACUGCAGUCGAAACUGCAAGACUUGAAUGUUGGAGAGGUUGGGGGAAUACCUAGUGGAGAAGUGAAAUUCGUAGAGAUUAGGUGGAACACCAGAGGCGAAGGCGCCUGACUGGCCAAACAUUGACGCUAAGGCGCGAAAGCGUGGGUAGCAAACAGGAUUAGAUACCCCGGUAGUCCCUGUCUCUUAUAC